GGCCUGCCUGCCGAGCGAGGCUCUCCCCCGGUGGUCCCCAGGCGCGGGCGGCCGUGCGCAUGGCAGGAGGGGCCCGCGGUCACCCCGCUCCUCACGGCGGGGCAGCUCCUGGGGCCGCGCUUGUCGAUGCCGCCGUUCUCUUACAAGCUCUUAACGGAGAACGGUGAAGGUUUGCUUUAUUACUACCGCUUCUUAGGGGACCUCAGUAGUCUGUUGUUCGUAGUACUUGCUCUUCGCCCUCCGUCAGCCACAUUUACUUUGGCUCAAGAAGGAAGAGUUUACUUUUCCAGACAUGGGAGGUUGAAGACAGGAGUAGAAGCACCUGCUGGGACAGGCUGCACUACCAGCAAGUUUGCAGCUGAUACAGAAGCAAGGGCCUUUCAGGGGGACCUCCUCAGGCAGGACAUAGAACCCCAGAUCUGUCCUCUACCCAUGGUGCCCUGGUUAUACUGUGCAAGUCUGAGAAGAUUUCUUCUACAUGGGAAAAAAAACAAACCCUGCAUUUAUCUGUUGGCAAAGUUUAAAAAUCAGUGUCUAACACCAGCUUCCCAUUAGUUGAUACAGUAGUUUGCCUUCUCAUGUAGAAUCAAUUCCCAGGUUGCAAGGAGUCUCAUCUGCUGCCCAAAUGCUAAUGCUCAUGGAGAAGACACCUACUGAUGCACACACAGAAUGACAGUUCAUACAUUAAAAAAAGCCAUUAACCACAGUUACCACAAUCAUAGAAUAGUUUGGGUUGCAAGGAACCUUCAAAGCCCAUCUAGUCCAACCAGGGACAUCUUCACCUAGAUCAGGUUGCUCAAAACCCCAUCCAGCCUGGCCUGGGAUGUCCCCAGGGAUGGGGCAUCUUCCACCUCUCUGAGGAACCUGGGCCAGUGUUUCACCACCCUCAUUGUAAAAAAUUUCUUCCUCAUGUCUAGCCUGGAUCUGCCCUCCCAUUACCCCUUGUACUGUCACAACAGGCCCUGCUAAAAAGUCUGUCCCUGUCUUUCCUACAGGCCCCUUUAAGCACUGAAAGGCUGCAAUAAGGUCUCCCUGGAGCCUUCUCUUCUCCAGGCUGAACAACCCCAACUCUCUCAGCCUGUCCUCACAGCAGAGCUGUUCCAGCCCUCUGAUCAUCUUGGUGGCCUCUCCAACAGGUCUAUGUCUUUCCUGUACUGUUGUUGUUUUUGUGUGUUUUGUUGGUUUUGGGGUUUUUACAUACUUACCCUGAAAAGUUCUCGUCUGCCAUUCACUGCACUAGGCCAUGACUCUGAUUUCCUAAAAGUCAGGCAACAUUCAGCACUUCACUCUUGCAGGACACACAUUCUCUCUCCUGUGGCAGGAAGAGAGUUACAUAGAAGCAUAACAUGUUUGUGUUAUGCUUCCUGUAGUGGCCAUUAAUACCCACACCUGUGUUCACUGUUACUGUAUAACACUCUCAAAUCAGAUUUUUCAGAAAUACAUUUAAUAAAAGUCAUAAAUAAAAUCCAAUUUCUGCUUUACAAAUUAAAUAUCAGAAGAGGGAUAUUUUCUUAAUGCAGACUUGCAUUUCAGAUACAAUCUUAGACCAACAAAUACAGACCUACAAAGCUGAAAAUUUAAAUCCGUUUCAAAGUAUCACUUCUUAACUGAUAUAAAACUGCAUUGUCUCAACACAAAGGUUCCAAAGCUUUUAGAAACAUUUCUGUACUUCAGAUUCUUCAAAUGAACACAACUCAGACGUUCUCACUAACAAUUUCUGUUCUUAUAUCUGCGGGUCUAACAUCUCUUGUAGAAGUAGAAACUGUUGUGGUACUGUGACAAUGUCAAUAUCAAAUACACUUUCCACUCCUCAAGGAUGAUAAAGCACAUGCUAGUCUUAUACAGUUGCAUUUGGGCUAGCAGACCUACAGGAUGAGCCAAGCAGCAAUACCACACGUCAGUUUGUCCUACGGUAGCUUAAAGGAAACCUAUUGGCAACUGUGAGUUUCUGAAAGGGGAUGUCACACCUCAGUGAGUGACAGUGCCAGCAGUGCACCAACUGAUGUGGGAGGCUGCAGUUCAGCAUUUUAAUGCUGCAGGUCCAUUCCAGAUACAAUGAUGAUGUCUCAAGAAAGUUUGUCACAUAGUCUGAAGCUGGUAAACUCUUGAACCUUUUUUCAAAAGAUAACCCUGAUCAUUUAGGGAUCCAAUAAAGCUUUCAAAAUCAGAUACCUAAAAAAAAAAAAGAAAAAAAGAGGAAAAUAUAUAAACAUCAAAUUGUAAGAAUGACAUUUUUUCUCAUGUAAAGCAACAAAAAGUUUGAAAGAACUUGGUGAAAUAAAGUGAGCUGAGAAUAGGUUAAUUUUCUUAAUAAACAGCUGACCUACUAGGAGGUGGCAUACAAUCAGUUGCACCCUUUUGUGCUAUACUCACACAGUGUUUACUGUGGUGUUACAUAGAAUAAGUGUCCUC